rnacentral:tRNA from 1 species
UUCCCGAUAGCUCAAUGGGUAGAGCGCCCGGCUGUUAACCGGGAGGUUCUUGGUUCGAGACCAAGUCGGGGAGCCA